rnacentral:rRNA from 1 species
GCUAGCUACAGGCUUAACACAUGCAAGUCGAGGGGCAGCAUGGUCUUAGCUUGCUAAGGCCGAUGGCGACCGGCGCACGGGUGAGUAACACGUAUCCAACCUGCCGUCUACUCUUGGACAGCCUUCUGAAAGGAAGAUUAAUACAAGAUGGCAUCAUGAGUCCGCAUGUUCACAUGAUUAAAGGUAUUCCGGUAGACGAUGGGGAUGCGUUCCAUUAGAUAGUAGGCGGGGUAACGGCCCACCUAGUCUUCGAUGGAUAGGGGUUCUGAGAGGAAGGUCCCCCACAUUGGAACUGAGACACGGUCCAAACUCCUACGGGAGGCAGCAGUGAGGAAUAUUGGUCAAUGGGCGAGAGCCUGAACCAGCCAAGUAGCGUGAAGGAUGACUGCCCUAUGGGUUGUAAACUUCUUUUAUAAAGGAAUAAAGUCGGGUAUGGAUACCCGUUUGCAUGUACUUUAUGAAUAAGGAUCGGCUAACUCCGUGCCAGCAGCCGCGGUAAUACGGAGGAUCCGAGCGUUAUCCGGAUUUAUUGGGUUUAAAGGGAGCGUAGAUGGAUGUUUAAGUCAGUUGUGAAAGUUUGCGGCUCAACCGUAAAAUUGCAGUUGAUACUGGAUAUCUUGAGUGCAGUUGAGGCAGGCGGAAUUCGUGGUGUAGCGGUGAAAUGCUUAGAUAUCACGAAGAACUCCGAUUGCGAAGGCAGCCUGCUAAGCUGCAACUGACAUUGAGGCUCGAAAGUGUGGGUAUCAAACAGGAUUAGAUACCCUGGUAGUCCACACGGUAAACGAUGAAUACUCGCUGUUUGCGAUAUACUGCAAGCGGCCAAGCGAAAGCGUUAAGUAUUCCACCUGGGGAGUACGCCGGCAACGGUGAAACUCAAAGGAAUUGACGGGGGCCCGCACAAGCGGAGGAACAUGUGGUUUAAUUCGAUGAUACGCGAGGAACCUUACCCGGGCUUAAAUUGCAGAUGAAUUACGGUGAAAGCCGUAAGCCGCAAGGCAUCUGUGAAGGUGCUGCAUGGUUGUCGUCAGCUCGUGCCGUGAGGUGUCGGCUUAAGUGCCAUAACGAGCGCAACCCUUGUUGUCAGUUACUAACAGGUUCCGCUGAGGACUCUGACAAGACUGCCAUCGUAAGAUGUGAGGAAGGUGGGGAUGACGUCAAAUCAGCACGGCCCUUACGUCCGGGGCUACACACGUGUUACAAUGGGGGGUACAGAGGGCCGCUACCACGCGAGUGGAUGCCAAUCCCCAAAACCUCUCUCAGUUCGGACUGGAGUCUGCAACCCGACUCCACGAAGCUGGAUUCGCUAGUAAUCGCGCAUCAGCCACGGCGCGGUGAAUACGUUCCCGGGCCUUGUACACACCGCCCGUCAAGCCAUGGGAGCCGGGGGUACCUGAAGUGCGUAACCGCAAGGAGCGCCCUAGGGUAAAACUGGUGACUGGGGC